AUAGAAGGACAGUAUCAACAAAAUGUUCUUACAUAUGCUUUUCUUGUUAACCCAGAUGACCAAAAAGGAGAUACCUGUGUCAACAAUGACUACCCUGCUGGCCAAAUGAAGCUUAUGUCUACACCAGAUUUCUACCAGCAAAAGAGGAUGUUAUAGCUUAUAUUUCCAUAGGACUUAUAUUUCAAUAGGACUUACAUAUCCAAGUAAUAUUCACAGCCCCCAAGUCAGAACAGGUCUCACAGCUGCAGCUCUCACUGUAGUUAAUAGAAACCUCAUCUGUAUAAUUGUACCAAUGUAACCAAUUAUAGAAUUUGAUUUCCAAUGCAAGAUUUCGCUGGAUUGUUUUGACAGUGCUUAGUUGAUAAGACUGUGGUAUCCCUAGUAGUUCUAUGUAUUUGAACAGACCUAUUAAGAGAAACAGGAAGGAUACCAUAGCAAGCUCUACAAUAAAUAGACUGCCAAAAUUCUGUUUCAGUAGAAAGAAGCAGCAUGUCCCUUCAUACAGGAAUGCACAUCCCGCUGGAGCCAGACAGCUCCCCCAUGACAAUUCCAGGGCCUUGCAGCUCCUACUGCUCUCCCCACUGGUUUUCAGACCAAGGAGACAUUGCACUGCCUGGGUCUGAGGUGGCAGCCACGUGGGCCAUAGCAAGAUAGCUCCCUUCUCUAAUGAUACAUGAGAGAGAACAUCAGCUGUGGGACCUAGGGAGUUAAGAAGCAAUUAACUGAUGAAAAAAAAUUCAUAUUUGAGAAGACAUCUUGCCAAGAACAGGACUGACCUGGGGAUCUUCACUCCACACUCCAUUCUGCACCAAAAAAUUUGGAAUUUUAAGGUGCCUCAGAUUGCCAGCAGUGGAAAUAAUCUGUGCUUAUCCCAGUGAAGCAUGGAUUUAACAGCAAUGCUGUGUUUCCUUUCACAAUAUUGUGUAGGACAAAGCAGUAUCAUACCACUCUAUCAAAGUACUGCACUGCAGAUAAAUUUUGUCCCAGCUUGGCAUUCUGCUAUCUCAUCUUCCAAAAACAUAACUUUCUGAAUUCCUGCACUAUAAAAUUUUACAAUCAAGAGAUCAACAACUUGUAACUGUAUUUCCAGAAGUAAUAAAUUAAUAAAAGCAAACUCA
rnacentral:lncRNA from 1 species